CCUACGGGGGGCAGCAGUGAGGAAUAUUGGUCAAUGGGCUUACGCCUGAACCAGCCAAGUCGCGUGAGGGAAGACUGCCCUAUGGGUUGUAAACCUCUUUUGUCAGGGAGCAACGCCGGCUACGUGUAGCCGGACUGAGAGGACCUGAAGAAAAAGCAUCGGCUAACUCCGUGCCAGCAGCCGCGGUAAUACGGAGGAUGCGAGCGUUAUCCGGAUUUAUGGGGUUUAAAGGGUGCGUAGGCGGAAUGCCAAGUCAGCGGUAAAAUCGCGGGGCUCAACCUCGCUCCGCCGUUGAAACUGGCGUUCUUGAGUGGGCGAGAAGUAUGCGGAAUGCGUGGUGUAGCGGUGAAAUUCAUAGAUAUCACGCAGAACUCCGAUUGCGAAGGCAGCAUACCGGCGCCCAACUGACGCUGAAGCACGAACGCGUGGGUAUCGAACAGGAUUAGAUACCCCAGUAGUC
rnacentral:rRNA from 1 species